UUCUAGCCCUGGUUGAAAUGGAAAUCCUUUUUUUGGGCUCGGUGAGGAACGAGCCGAGACCGAAAAAAGAUUGCAAUGGAAAACAGGUGAGGUU
rnacentral:sRNA from 1 species